rnacentral:misc_RNA from 1 species
AAGGAUCAUUAUCGAAUAAACUUGAGCAGGCUGUUGCUGGUCUCCAGGGACAUGUGCACGCUUGUCAUCUUUAUCAUUUCUCCAACUGUGCACAUAUUGUAGACCCCUGGAGGUUUUGCCUUUGGAUUCGUUUCCGAGUUUUGGGACUGCUGUGCCUCGAAGAAAGAGAGGUCGGCUUUCCCUUUGCAUCCUCCCAGGUCUAUGUCAUUUUUCACGACCCCUCGAACGUGUUUAGAAUGUUGAAUAAAUGUAAAGUUAUAAAUACAACUUUCAGCAACGGAUCUCUUGGCUCUC